GCAAUGAUUCUUAGUGGCGAACGGGUGAGUAACGCGUAGACAACCUGCCUUCUAGAUGGGGACAACACUGCGAAAGUGGUGCUAAUACCGAAUGUUGUAUUAAGCCUGCAUGGGCUUGAUACUAAAGGUGGCCUCUAUUUAUAAGCUAUCACUAGAAGAUGGGUCUGCGUCUGAUUAGCUAGUUGGUGAGGUAAUGGCUCACCAAGGCGAUGAUCAGUAGCCGGUCUGAGAGGAUGAACGGCCACACUGGGACUGAGACACGGCCCAGACUCCUACGGGAGGCAGCAGUGGGGAAUCUUCCGCAAUGGACGAAAGUCUGACGGAGCAACGCCGCGUGAGUGAAGAAGGUUUUCGGAUCGUAAAGCUCUGUCUUUGAGGACGAAUGUGUCUAAUGUGAAUAAUGUUAGAUAAUGACGGUACUCGAGGAGGAAGCCACGGCUAACUACGUGCCAGCAGCCGCGGUAAUACGUAGGUGGC
rnacentral:rRNA from 1 species